AUUGAACGCUAGCGGGAUGCCUUACACAUGCACGUCGAACGGAGUGGCGAACGGGUGAGUAAUGUAUCGGAACGUGCCCAGUAGCGGGGGAUAACUACGCGAAAGCGUAGCUAAUACCUCAUAAUAUUGGAGCGGACGAUAUCGGAUUAGCUAGUUGGUGGGAUAACGGCUAACCAAGGCGAAGAACCGUAGUUUGUUUGAGAGGACGAACAGCCAAACUGGGACAUAGACACGGGCCAAGGUCCUACGGGAGGCAGAAGUGGGGAAUUUUGGACAAUGGGGGAAACCCUUAUCCAGCCAUCCCGCGUGUGCGAGGAAGGCCUUAGGGUUGGAAAGCACUUUUGGAAGGAAAGCGGUACCUGCAGAAUAAGCACCGGCUAACUACGUGCCAGCAGCCGCGGUAAUAC
rnacentral:rRNA from 1 species